GUGCUACUCCCUCCGUUCGGAAUUACUUGUCUCGAAAAUGGAUGUAUCUAGAUGUAUUUUAGUUCUAGAUACAUCCAUUUUCGAGACAAGUAAUUCCAAACGGAGGGUGUAGAUU
rfam:Triticum aestivum genome assembly, contig: Triticum_aestivum_CS42_TGACv1_scaffold_579787_7BL